GCAAAGACAGCCAGGAUGUUGGCUUAGAAGCAGCCACCAUUUAAAGAGUGCGUAAUAGCUCACUGGUCGAGGGUUUCGGCGCCGAUAAUGAUCGGGAAUAAGCAAUGUACCGAAGCUGCGGGCUGCGUAAGCAGCGGUAGGAGAGCGUUCCUGUCAGCAGAGAAGGCGUCCCGAAAGGGUCGCUGGAGCGUCAGGAAGUGAAUAUGCCGGGUUGAGUAACGAUAAAGCAGGUGAAAAUCCUGCUCGCCGAAAAUCUAAGGUUUCCUGGGGAAGGUAAAUCCGCCCAGGGUCAGCCGGGACCUAAGGUGAGGCCGAAAGGCGUAGCCGAUGGACGGCAGGUUAAUAUUCCUGCGCUACUGUGGAGAUCAAUCAUGAGUGCGGAUCGGUCAGCCCUGCGUAAGCACCAGCUUGCUGAGGCCCUUGAGGCCGCUGCAGGGGGCUCUGGUCCCGAGAAAAGCUCAUGUGGCAAAGCAGUACCCGUACCAAAACCGACACAGGUAGAUGAGGUGAAUAACCUAAGGCGCUCGAGAUAACGGAAGUGAAGGAAUUAGGCAAAUUGACCCCGUAAGUUCGCGAUAAGGGGGCCCUACCCCUCGGGGAGGGCGCAGAGAAAAGGCUCUGGCGACUGUUUAUCAAAAACACAGCACUGUGCUAACUCGCAAGAGGACGUAUACAGUGUGACGCCUGCCCAAUGCCGGAAUGUCACGGAAGCGGGUUAGCUUCGGCGAAGCUCGUAACCUAAGCACCGGUCAAUGGCGGCCGUAACUAUGACGGUCCUAAGGUAGCGAAGUUCCUUGUCGGGUAAGUUCCGACGCGCAUGAAUGGCGUAACGACUGGAGCACUGUCUCCACUUCCGACUCGGUGAAAUAGUAGUGGCGGUGAAGAUGCCGCCUACCCGCGACAAGACGGAAAGACCCCAUGAACCUUUACUGUAGCUUUGCAUUGGACUUUGAACCGGUUUGUGUAGGAUAGGUGGGAGGCUUUGAAGCAGGAACGCUAGUUCUUGUGGAGCCAACCUUGAAAUACCACCCUGAUCUGUUUGAGGUUCUAACCUUGACCCAUUAUCUGGGUCGGGGACCGUGCAUGGUGGGCAGUUUGACUGGGGCGGUCUCCUCCUAAAGAGUAACGGAGGAGCUCGAAGGUACGCUAAGUACGGUCGGACAUCGUACUGAUAGUGCAAUGGCAUAAGCGUGCUUGACUGCGAGACUGACAAGUCGAGCAGGUGCGAAAGC
rnacentral:rRNA from 1 species